CACGUAGGCGGGACAGAAAGUCAGAGGUGAAAUCCCAGGGCUCAACCUUGGAACUGCCUUUGAAACUCCUGUUUUUGAGGUCGAGAGAGGUGAGUGGAAUUCCGAGUGUAGAGGUGAAAUUCGUAGAUAUUCGGAGGAACACCAGUGGCGAAGGCGGCUUACUGGACGGUAACUGACGUUGAGGCUCGAAAGCGUGGGGAGCAAACA
rnacentral:rRNA from 1 species